rnacentral:lncRNA from 1 species
CGCGACCGACCCAACAUUUAUCUACUUUGGUCAUGGUUUGAAGGAGGUCAAGUGCUAAGCAAUUGGCCGAGAGAGUUCCAAGCAGAAUGCAUGUUGUAAUCCUAGUCUAUAUUAUUGCUUUCUUUACUUUUUAUGUUUAGAAUUGGAGGAUGAGGAGUCUAUUUUUGCUUUGUUUCGUUAGAAUAUUGCGCGUUUGUUGACUUGGAUUUAUGCCUAUCUUGGUUUUAAUGGCUUUUCAACUUGGAUUUCUAAUUUAUGUGGUUCUAAAUUUUGAUUGCGAAAUAACAUUGUGUUCUACAUUUUACCGCCUUCAAGUCGCUUUCGUAUGCCGUCAAACAGUUGAAGGUGUGAAUAGUUGGAACUGGUAAUAGUUCUAGUUCAUCUUUCAAUUUCACCAACAAAUCUAAAUAUGUCCCCUUUUCUUCACGCAUUUUCCGGAGUUCUGGAGAGAGCCGCAAUCAAUAGGAUUUUCUUAAUCUUCCCUUCCCGAAAGAAAGAAUGUGAGAUUUCUUUCUUUUUUCUGCAGGAACCACAAGAUUGGAUCUAGCUGUAAGAAGAAUGUUUGGCUAAUGAAUGAGUACUGAGCUUGUUUGUCCUUGUCAAACCUGGGAUUUUACUGUAAUUUGAAUGCCUCCGGUAGUUUGGAAUAUUCCGAGGAUACGGUCCUCGGUUACAAAUAUACCAUCUAACGGUCCUUGUUUGCGAAUAGGUUUUUUUAGCCAAAAUAGUCAGAUUUGCAUAACACAUUACUUUGGUCUUUGAGAUUGAAAAUCAAUAUAAAUGGUUCUGAGAUUGUCCAUCAUCUAUUAUUUUGGUCAUUUCGUUAAAAACUCCAUUAAGUGUCCCGGAGCUCUUGGCCGAAAAUUUGGGCAAUUUUCAAAGCUUCGUAACUCAAUAGUUUCUUAAUCAAAUUCGGCCCAUAAUAUAUCAAAAUGAAGAUAGGAAAGUGUAGAACAAGAUUAUACCUAUUUGGAAGCCCAAUGGUUGCCGGAGAUGGCAGGAAAAUAGCCUAAAAGGUGACUGGUGGUCUGUGGAAAAACUGGAAAACUCGUCGGAAAUUGAACAAACUUUAAAUGUUCAUAACUUCCUCAAUGCUCAACGAAAUUGAGUGAUUCAAAAAUGAAAAUCGAGUGAUUCAAAAACGAAAAUCAUACUUCUUGACGAGACGAAGAGAAUGGUACCUUUUUUGACGACUAAUUCGCUGUGGUUUGGCCGGAAAAUGGCUCGAAAGUGGCUAACUAGAGACCAAGACAGCCACUUUCGAGCCAUUUUCCAGCCAAAUCACAGAGAUUUAGCCUUUGAGAAAUGUAUCAUUCUCUUCGUCUCGUCAAGAAGUAUGAUUUUCGUUUUUGAAUCACUCGAUUUCAUUGAUUAUUGAAGAAGUUAUGAACGUUUAAAGUUUACCUAGUUUCUGGCGAGUUUCCCAGUUUUCCCGCGGACGAGUCACCUUUCAGACUAUUUUUUGGCCAUCUCCGGCAACUAUUGGGCUUCCAAAUAGGUAUAAUAUUGUUCUACACUUUCCUAUCUUCAUUUUGAUAUAUUAUGAGUCGAAUUUAGUUUAAAAACAAUUGAGUUACGAAUAUUUGAAAAUUGCCCAAACUUUCGGUCAAAAGUUUCGGAACAUUUAACGGAAUGACCAAAAUAAUGGAUGACAAUCUGUGGACAAUCUCAGGGACCAAAGUGAUGUGUUAUGCAAAUCUCAGGGACCAUUUUGGCUAAAAAGCCUUACAAAUAUAGCAUCUGACUUUGGACUGAGAAACUCUAGCAUUAUGGUUAAUAAUAUUCAUCUCCAUCAAGAAUUUAUAGAUUUUAUGUUCGACUCUCUUGGAAAAUUCCCACUAUCGUUGCCUAGUGAUCUUCUUAUUUACUUGUGAGUAAACAAAUCUUAAGUUUGAAUGUCAUAAAUGAUAAGUUUGUAAUCAAUUUAUUCUCUCCACCCUCUUAAUGUAAAUACUAAAUAUAUUUUGUAUUUAAUUUAAUUUAAUUGCGUAAUGUUACCUCAUAGUGAUGUGCUUAGAUUUAUUUGUUAAAUCCGUUUGAGAACCGUAGUAGCAUGAAAUUAUGAAAAAUAUGUCAUGUUUUGGAUCACAGAAGUUGAUAUAGAUUGGGAAAGAAAAUCGCAUAUACAAAAUUCAAUAGUAGCCAAAUAGUUUAGUGCUUGACAAGUCUCUUCACCAUCAUCGAAGAGCAAUUUGCAUGGUGAGCACAAUAGUUGCUUACAUUUCUCAUAAUUAUCCUCCAAAUACAUAUUUGAAUUUUGUCACAUAUUAAUUAACAUAUUUUUUAUUCGAGAUUAUAGGAAUGCGAAGAUCAAUCGCACACAAGAACGUGAGUUUAUUACGACCAUUUUAGUUUUGUGGACUCUACAAAACAUGAAUGACUAAAUUAGCUCAUUGACAAGUGUAUACGAUUGUUCAUAACACGUGGAAUAGCUGGCUAACACGUGGAGUGGUUUCAAUAUGUCGGAUGGUGAUUGGUUGGUUGAUGUUUGGAUUUGUAGGCUUGGUGUGGUUUUAGACAUGUUUGAACAUUUUAAAGUUGCAUUGAUGAUGAGUCGGCCAAGGAUAAUAUGACGGUCGUGAUUCAAUUUUUGAUGCACUUUAGAAAAUACAUUGAAUUUUUAUUUAAAAAAUUACGCAUGCAUGUGAGCGUUACGGUAGUAUAGUGCGUUUCACGCAAUUGUUAUCAAAGUCAUGAUAUUAAAUGCGGGAAGAUAUUAUUCGCUUAACCGUUGACGUCUGUCUGUCAAUAUGUGAACAUUGUGUUGGCUUUAUUUGCAUCGUCGUGAAAUUUAUGUGACAAUUAAAGUUGUUGAUGCACAAAACAGGAGGUCUUGGAACAACGUAAAUUCGACCGUGAAUCUGCAUGAAAUGUAAAUAACACAGGAUGUAUUGUGGUUCACCCCAAGGUUUGGGCUACGUCCACACUGAUUAUAUAUUUAUUUGAGGGGUGAGGGAGAGAACCUCUGAAUAUGAGAGGGGAUGUGAGAGGGGUGAAAAGGCUUCAGAAAUGGUCUCCCCUAAUUGUGAGGGUGAGGGGUCCUUUUAUAGAAUAAGGACUCCUCACUCAUCACAUAUUUGCCCUUUCCUUUAUCACAUAAUUACAUUUAAGUCCCCCGAGUAUUUGUACGAGAUCUAAAUACGAGGCCUUAAAUAUGGUAUAAACAGUAAUCCCCCAAGUCUUCAGUCAAGAGAGUCUUUUGGUUUGAGACUUGAAAUUCAGUCCAUGUGUGGGCCGAAGUAACUAGAUGUUAUCUUGAACUGAUGCUCGAUAUGAGGCGGUACUCAAUCUGAAAUGAUGCUCAACUAAUCUGAAAUGAUGCUCAACUAGAAGUAGUACAUGCUGCGAGGCUGCUCGACUCGUGGCUUAUGUUGCUUUGGUUGGCUUGGCUUGUGGCGUUGAAGGUGAUGGAGUCCCUUUUAUAGAAUAUGGGCUCGCUCCUCAAUACAUAAGUGAUGGGUUAGGAGUGAUGCUCGCGGCGAGGCGGUUGCUCAGCUGGCGGCGUUGCUUUCUAACGAAGGUGAGGGAGUCCCUUUUAUAGAAUAAGGGCUCGCUCCUCAAUACAUAAGUGAUGGGCUAGGAGUGAUGCUUGCGGCGAUGCGGUUGCUCAGCUGGCGGCGUUGCUCUCUAAUGAAGGUGAGGGAGUCCCUUUUAUAAAAUAAGGGUUUGCUCCUCAGUACAUGAAUAAUGGGUGCUCUCUAAUGAAAGUGAGAGAGUCUCUUUUAUAGAAUAAGGGCUCACUCCUCAGUACAUGAAUAAUGGCCUAAGUCCCCUAAGUAAUUUUCAUGAGGCCCAAUAUAUGGUACAUGAUGUAGUCCCCCAAGUCUUCAGUCAAUAGAGUCUGUUGGCUGGAGACUUCAAAUUGAAUCUAUGUAUGGGCUGAAAUGGCGGUUGUUCGGAAGCGGUAUUUGUAUACCCUGUACUGAAGUUUUGUAGGUGAAGCUUUGCAAGUGAAGCUUUGAAGCUAGAGCUCUGUGAAUGAAGCUUUCGAAGCUGGAGCUUUUGAAGCUAGAGCUCUGUAAAUGAAGCUUUUGAAGCUAGAGCUCUGUAAAUGAAGCUUUUGAAGUUAGAUUGACAUGAGUAAUGCUCAUGAAUGUUUAUGUUGAUUGACAUGAGUGAUGCUCAUAGAUGUUGUCAUGAGUGAUGCUCAUGAAUGUUAACAUGAGUGAUGCUCAUGAAUGUUGACACGAAUGAUGGUUAUGAAUGUUUAUGUAUGAUUGUCAUGCGUGAUGCUCAUGAAUGUUUAUGUAUGAAUGACAUGAGUAAUGCUCAUGUAUAAUUUGGAGUAUUGGGCGUACUUUUGAUCACCUGGUUGGUGGCAUGAAGAAGAGUACAGGUUGUACAUUUCAUCACUUGGUUGGUGGUAAUAGCGGCAGGUUGCAGAAUAAUUUUGAAGUACUGGGCAUACUUCAGAUCACCUGGUUGGCGAUAAUAGCGGCAUGUUGCCGAAUAAUUGUGAAGUACUGGGCGUACUUUUGGUCACCUGGUUGGUGAUAAUAGAGGGUCUGGCUCUUUUUGGCAUAUGAGCCUUCGCCCUCCACACGACAUUGCAGCCUAUUAUUUUGGGCUUACCGUGUUUUUUUUAAUACCCUAUGAUGGGGUUUAUACAGAUAUCUCUAAAACAUAAGAAAAAUAAAUUACAUCAUUAAAAAAUAAUGGUUUCGACAGUUGCAGAUCGUUGGUGCGUACUGCGCCUACUGCGUACUGGGUUGCUUCUGUUGGUAGCGUUCGUUGGCUUGGAUGGUUUUUGAGAGACUGGGAGUAACAGCUGCUGUCAGAUCUGAAUUCGAAUGACCUGGCUUGUUGGCCCAUCAUCACCAUGGUUAUGGACUGCACCACCCCACUACGCAUCACAUUAAUAUUAUAUGUUUUUGCUUUUGUUUCCUUUUCCACCGCACAUCUCUCUUUUACUGCAUUUAUUAUUCUGUUGCUGAGGUCCAGGUGCAUUAGCCUUUGUAGAUGGCAGACAAAAGUAAAGUGAAGUUCUCUUUACUUUGCUUUACUUUGCAGAUUGCAGAUGACACUCAAGUUCUCUGUUUUUACUUUGUAGAUUGCAGAUGGCACUCUGGUUCCCUGCUUUUACUUUGUAGAUUGCAGAUGGCAUGUGAGGAAAGCCUCCCUUUUCUUUUCCUAGCGUUCCGUGGUCCACGAGUCCACAACAUGUGAUCUAUACGAAAAACACUUGAACAACAUCAGAGCUCGGCGAUAGGAGUCUCAAAGAUGGCUUGCUCAGCUUUCUGCACCUCCUUCUCGAUCUUCCUUCCCUUAUUGGAUUUGUAGUACACACUCAUGAAUGUUCCCAAAGCUUGAGUCCUCUCAGCCUGUUCUUUCAAAAGCUGCUCGUUACCUACCAAGAAGAACAAAAAUGCACCAACCCCGUAACCAGUUGCGAUGUUUGACUCCUAGACACAAUAGUUAUAAUUUAACCCAGUGUCUUGAACGACAUUCGCAGAGCUUCUCUUCUGCUCAGUCACUCUCCAGACAUCUCAUCUCUCUCUAUCUCUCUCACUGAGUUGCCACUAGCUACACCAAAUCGCAGCCAAACGACGACACCCACGAAUUCGAAUGAGAAAAGUCAAGCAAAAAAGAUCGAGAAUUUCCUUUCACUGUUAGGAAACGAUUCAAGAAUUCAAUUCUCCAGCGUUGUAGUGCAAAAGCUCGUGGCUAGAUUUUCCCGAGAAAAAAAGAGGGAAAGAUUUUGCCGAGAAAAUUUAGGCAGUGUGCUGUCGAUUGAGCAGGAACGCGGAGACCCCUACCGAUAGAUGGUUGUUCAGAUGGAACAACUUCUUAGAACUAGCCGUGAAUGCCAGCGCGUGCCAAUCUCGAGUUCCCUAUCCAUUUCUCUAGUGCGAGCAGCAGCUGAGCAAACAAUCGUGUCGAAGCGGCAGGAGAUGGCGUACUGACGGUCGAGGUGUUCAAAAGGGAAACUGCUCGAAUCCGUCUUUGGCGUUCCGCCACGCGUCCUUCCCGAAGCUUCCGAUGUCGCUACGCUGGAACGCCUGGAUGUUCGGCACCUGGCAGUGGCGGUGAUGGUAAUAGCCUUCUGAGGAUUGAGAUCAUGGGUCGCGCUUCUUGCGAUUGAGAUUGUAGCGGUGCCAUUCUGACUUGUAAUGGAGCUUCUGCUCUGAGUCGUCCAGAAACUCCUUGUUGCAAGAGUUGCAUGUUAGCCCUCACAUUUUCUCUCUCUCUAGCUUUCUCUGAGUCUGUGCUACUUUAAUCUAUUGUUCACCGACUUGUAAAACUUUGUUAAUGAAAGCAAAAGAUUUUCUUAUAUAACACUCUGCAGAGGGCACAGAGAGAUAGAGAUAUGAGUGAUUGUGUUUCCAUUGCUGCCGCCGUGAUCAGGAGCUGAAGCGGGAAACAUGGGUUUUGCAGUGAUUGUGCAGAUUCACGGUGGAGGUGAAAAAAUGAAAAAAAAAUCGACACAACUUUUCGUAUCGUUUCCCACAGACGGCGCCAAAUGUUGAUGCACAAAACCGAAGGUCUUAGUACAACGUAAAUCCGACCGUGAAUCUGCAUGAAAUGUAAAUAACACAAGAUGUAUCGUGGUUCACCCCAAGGUUUGGGCUACGUCCACACUGAUUAUGUAUUUAUCUGAAUGAGAGAGAGCUCUAAGAGUGAGAGCUUUGAGAGAGGAUGAGAGGGCCUAGGAAUUGGCCUCUUCUAAUUGUGAGGGUAAGGGGUCCUUUUAUAGAAUAAAGACUUCUCACUUAUUACAUAUUUGACCUUCCUUUAUCACAUAAUUACAUUUAAGUCUCCCGAGUAUUUGUACGAGAUCUAAAUACGAGGCCCUAAAUAUGGUAUAAACAGUAGUCUCCCAAGUCUUCAGUCAAAAGAGUAUUUUAGCUGGAGACUUGAAAUUCAGUCCAUGUGUGGGCCAAAGUAACUAGAUGUUGUCUUGAACUGAUGCUCGAUAUGAGGCGAUGCUCAAUUUGAAAUGAUGCUCAACUAGAAGUAGCACAUGCUGCGAGGCUGCGAGGCUCGUGGCUUAUGUUGCCUUGGUUGGCUCGGCUUGUGACGUUGAAGGUAAGGGAAUCCCUUUUAUAAAAUAAGGGCUCGCUCCUUAAUACAUGAACGAUGGGUUAGAGUUGAUACUCUCUAAUGAUGGUGAGGGAGUCCCUUUUAUAGAAUAAGGGCUCACUCCUCAAUACAUAAAUAUGGGCUAGAGUUGAUGCUCUCUAAUAGUGGUGAGGGAGUCCCUUUAUAGAAUAAGGGCUCGCUCCUCAAUACAUAAAUAUGAGCUAGAGUUGAUGCUCUCUAAUGGUGGUGAGGGAGUCCCUUUUAUAGAAUAAUGGAUCGCUCCUCAAUACAUGAAUGAUGGGCUAGAGUCCCCCAAGUAUUUUUCAUGAGGCCCAGUGGAGGCCCAAUAUAUGGUAUAUAAUGUAGUCUCCCAAGUUUUCGGUCAAUAGAGUGUUGGCUGGAAACUUCAAAUUGAAUCCAUGUAUGGGCCGAAAUGGCGGUUGUUCGGAGGUGGUAUUUGUAUACCCUGCACUGAAGCUUUGUAGGUAAAGCUUUGCAAGUGAAGCUUUGAAGCUAGAGCUCUGUAAAUGAAGCUUUUGAAGCUAGAGCUUUGUAAAUGAAGCUUUUGAAGCUAGAGCUCUCUAAAUAAAGCUUUUGAAGCUAGAACUUUUGUAAAUGAAGAUUUUGAAGCUGAUUGACAUGAGUGAUGCUCAUGGAUGUUGACAUGAGUGAUGCUCAUGAAUGUUGACAUGAGUGAUGCUCAUGAAUGUUUAUGUAUAAAUGACAUGAGUAAUGCUCAUGUAUAAUUUGGAGUACUGGGCGUACUUUUGAUCACCUGGUUGGUGGCAUGAAGGAGAGUACGGGUUGUACAUUUCAUCACCUGGUUGGUGGCAUGAAUGGCUAGUUGCCAAAUGAUAUUAGAGUACGGGUUGUAUAUUUCAUCACCUGGUUAGUGGUAAUAGCGGCGGGUUGCUGAAUAAUUUUGGAGUACUGAGCGUACUUUUGAUCACCUAGUUGGUGGUAAUAGCGGCGGGUUGCCGAAUAAUUUUGGAGUACUGGGCGUACUUUUGAUCACCUGGUUGGUGGUAAUAGCGGCGGGUUGCCGAAUAAUUUUGGAGUACUGGGUGUACUUUUAAUCACCUGGUUGGCGAUAAUAGCGGCGGAGUGCCGAAUAAUUUUUUGUAGUACUUAGCGUACGUUUGGUCACCUGGUUGGUGAUAUUUUGGGCUUAUAGGCCUUCGCCCUCCACACAACAUUCCAGCCAAUUUAUUUUGGGCUUGCCGUUUUUUUUUACCCUCUGAUGGGGUUUAUACAGAUGUCUCCGAAAAAUAAGAAAAAUAAAUUACAUCAUUCAAAACAAAGGUUUUGACAGUUGCAGAUCGUUGGUGCGUACUGCACCUACUGCGUACUGGGUUAUUGCAGAUCUUUUUCCAUGUGCAUAUUCCAGUGGCUUCUUCAGAAAAGUGGGAACAUGCAUGAUGAAAGUUUUAUUUUUCAAAAGUUGAUGGCAUCUUCUGAUGGCUUGCCUUUACCGCACCCAUUUUUUCCGGGAAGUUCAUCCAUAAACCUGUGCAGCCUAGUCAUGAUAUCUCUUUAUCCUCCUCAUUUUUCUUUUUCUAUUCUUUUCCUCCCCUUUUCUUUUUCUAACAUUAUGAUUGAUUCCAACCCAUAGGCUUGCCAGGCGACAGUGAGCACAAUCAUAACCGAAAACAGCCACUGAAUGACACUAUUCUGUCUCUAUACCUUUUUCUUUUCAUUUCUUCCCUUUUCCCUUUUCUGAAAUAUUCUCUCAACAACUAGUACAUCAUACAUUUAGCCCAUCUUCCUUUUUCUUUUUCUAACAUCAUGAUUGAUUCCAAACUUUCAAUUCUUUUCCAAUGGAUUGUUGUCGGAGACGACACAUUUCCAAGCAAUUUCUCAUCGCCCUCACAGCAAUGGAUGAACCUCUACUUUCAUCAGGGAGAAGCAGCAAAUUGGGAGAGAAGGGGAGUGAGAAAUGGAGCUCGUACGAGUACGUGGGAAGAGCUGGGUCGGUGAUUCCGAUAGCGGCGCUAGUUGGGACUGAUGAUUCUGAUCGAGAGGCGGCUGCUGAUUGCUACCCGUCUUCUAUCCAUGUUGGUCUGGUUAGUGGUAUGAACACUGCGAGUUUCCGCCUUCAUCAAUACGUCCUUCAGAUUGGGGGGGCGAGGUGAUGCGAGCCUCUAUCAACGAACGCGACCCAUGAUUCACAAAAGUUGAAAUGGGGUCUCGACCCAUGAGCAGGUAAUAAGGUCUUAACCCAGAAGCUGAAAUGGGGUCUCGACCCAGGAGCAACAAUCAGAAAUAUGGUCAACCCCAAUUAUCUUACAUAUGGUCCAAAAACGAUCCUCCCCUGAAGGAAAAAAAUAUAUAUAUUGCUGCCCUUCCAAUUCUGGUGUGCUCGAUCUCCCACUGCUCCGGUUCAAACCACUGGGUUCAUCAUCCUUGACUUCCCACUGGGUGUAAUCAGGGGUUAGGUGCAAGGACAACAGCUGGAUGCGACGGCUGACGGCUUGGGAUUCGUCCUCCACCGUUGGAUCUGGGCUUUGCCUCUUCUUUUGAUUGAUCUCGUAGACACAGAUUAGGAAGAGGUUAGGUGGUUUCAUGGGGAAGAAAGAUUUGAACAAUUGGAAUUGGGAUGAUCUUCUGGUUAGACUGUUUUUUGUACGGACGCGACCCAUGAUGGUGGAUUUGCGCGGAAGAGAUGGCAGGCGACGGCGUUGGUAUAUGCGUCUAUGCAUGAUGAGAGGGUUCAUCAUCCUUGAUUGGGAAUGGUGUGAUGACGAGCUUGUUGUCAGUUUUGGACCCCGAAUGAAAGUCGGAGCUUCAAGACGAAAUCUGCGUCUUUAUCCACUAAAACACUUGUACCCAUCUGGCGACGCUGUCUGUGCCACCUCGUCGUUGAGUGGAAGCGGGAAGGUAUGCACUUGUUGUGCUCUUCACCGGGAAGAGGUCGUUUUGGGCUCUGAUUCGAGGGCCGUAAGCGCGCUGCACUUUGAACGGCGAGACGGAGAAGACGACGACGACGGCCGUACUAGAACGGCAGACGGGCGUGUCGAUGAUUGAGCAACUGGUUCCGGAGAUUACAACGCAUGCCCUUAGCUAUCUGGACUACCCGAGCCUAUAUAAGCUUUCGAUGACCAAUUCGCUUACGUGGAAGGUCGCCAAUGACGAUAAUGCUUGGAUGGCACUUUACCAUAAAGUAUGUGAUUACUGAAUUUGAAUUGCAUUUGAAGUAUUUGAAUUUGGGUGUUUGUUGGAUUUUGAUUUUUGGUUUUUGCAGAUUCACGGUGGAGGUGAAAAAAUGAAAGGAAACUGACACAACUUUUCGUAUCGUUUCCCACAGAUGGCGCCAAAUGUUGAUGCACAAAACCAGAGGUCUUGGAACAACGUAAAUCCGACCGUGAAUCUGCAUGAAAUGUAAAUAACACAAGAUGUAUCGUGGUUCAUCCCAAGGUUUGGGCUACGUCCACAGUGAUUAUGUAUUUAUUUGAGGGGUGAGGGAGAGAACCUCUGAAUAUGAAAGGGGAUGUGAGAGAGGUGAGAAGGCUUCAGAAAUGGUCUCCCCUAAUUGUGAGGGUGAGGGGUCCUUUUAUAGAAUAAGGACUCCUCACUCAUUACAUAUUUGCCCCUUGCUUAAUCACAUAAUUACAUUUAAGUCCCCCGAGUAUUUGUACGAGAUCUAAAUACGAGACCCUAAAUAUGGUAUAAACAAAAGUCGUAUAAUGGAAUUUCCUUGUUUGUCUUGCGCAAUUGAAAAAGGAUAAGGAAUUUGGUUGUAAAAAAUUUAAAAUUAUAAUUGCGGUCAAUUUUCGUUGUUGAUAUUCAAUUUCAACAAAGGCGCGACUGAAUGACUUGAAUAACCUCAAAAGAAAAAAAAGGAAGAACAUGUAACAAUUUUGACACAACCUAACCCAAAUUACACGCAUACAUUUGCGUGAAAAGUUAAGCAAAUCUCAACACUUGAGCGACUGAGUACUUAAGGCUGAAUUAACUCUAACAAGGAAGUAAAUAAGGAUAAAAGAAAAAUAUAAGGACAAACAUGAUAUAUUUAGGAAAUGGUUGAGAACCCCUGUAUGUAGAUAAAUGUGCAAACUAUUCCAAAAAAAAAAGAAAGAUUUUUGUUCAAAUUAGUAGAUAAUGCUCCUUAACAAAAAAAAAAAGUAGAUAAUGUCCUAAUUAAAUUUGAAUUAAUUGGGCCCGGUUUUAUUACAAUUCAACAGGCCUUUUUAGGCCCAAAUGAAGAGUAGAAACUCCUAACAAAACUACAACUAGUCCGACCCAACCAUCCAAAAAACCUCGUUCUACUCGGACUUGGAAACGAAUAUCACCAAUGGCUUAGAAGAAAUUUUACAGAAACGCGAGUACAUUCCCGUAAUUUCCCAGUUGCCCACCAUCCUGCCAUCUCCGUGUUCUUCCCAAACCCUCGCCUCACCUAUAUAUAUCGGUUACCAGGGAAUUCUCAAACCCUCACUCCUUUGCUGCGUCGCUCUCUGCGCUCCUCCCAAAUCCUAAUCUUUGUUGUUGGAGCGAUCCGAGCCGCAAUUAUGUUGGUUUACCAAGACCUCCUCACCGGUAAAAGUUUUUUCCCUAAUCUUGUCCCGCUUAUGUUCAAAUUAGGGUUUCGAUUCGUUAGUUCUAAUCUAUGUGAAAAAAAAAAUCGAAUUGGAUCUCGGUUUAAUCUCCAAAUUUUAGGUUAUGGUACGGAUCGGGCGCCAAAUUGUUGCUUUCCCGCCGUGUAAAUUGUUUUGCAGAUCCUUCGAUUUAUUGCUGCGCUAAUUGUUUUGAUUUAUUUAGUGGUGAUUGUGUGCAUGUAAUUUGUUUGUGGGUGCUUUUGCAUGUUGUUUAUAAUUUAUGAAGCCACUGGAUUUCAUCUGAAUGAUUACAAAAAAUCUAAUUUAUAUUGUGAUUUAUGGUUAUCGAACUCUUUCUGUAUUUAUUUUAUGUAAUUUGGUACUGGGUACGCAUAUUAAUUAUAUUGUGCGAAGCUUUGGAAUUUUAUGUUAGACUUGCUAAUUUAUAAUUUUGAUAUGUUGUUGGAAUGGUCGUGUAAUUAGAAAAUAUUGGGAUUGGAUAUAUCUUUGGAUAUGGUGGAUAUUGUGACGCAAUUUUUAAACUUAUUGUGUAAACUACUUGAACAGUUGUACUUUGUAAAGUUUAUAGAUUUGUUUAUGAUGUCUGCUGGAUCUUUUUUUUCUUUUUUUGUUAUAUGAUGUUCUUUUUUUCUUUAACUAAUAUAUUUAGUUGAAGUUCUUUUAUCAAGUUGUUGACCAAAUUCAUGCUUCUAUUAUAGGCGAUGAGCUUCUCUCGGACUCGUUUCCAUACAGGGAAAUCCACAAUGGAGUGCUCUGGGAGGUUGAUGGCAAGGUGAGUUGGUUGAUUCUUUGGUUUUAUUUAUUUUCGUUCCCCUCUUGUUGAACUGUCUUUGUAAUUUUAUUAUUAGUUUAACCACUCAUUAGAAAUAUUUAGCUGUGUUUGCAAUGUAAUUUGAAGGUUGAAUGUAUAAGUUUAAGCUUUUUCCUGAUGGGUGUAGUCAAGGUGGUUGUUAUUGAACUUUGUGGUUAUAGGUUUAUUCUGAUAUGGAUCACCUGUAUAAGGUUAAUAUGUUGAUUGUUAUGAAUUGCGUAGUUGAUUUACUGUAAGUUGUUUGAAUGAUUUUUGGUUUGCAGUGGGUUGUUCAAGGAGCUGUUGAUGUAGACAUUGGUGCAAAUCCAUCUGCUGAAGGUGGAGGUGAGGAUGAGGGUGUUGAUGAUCAAGCCGUCAAGGUUGUUGACAUUGUUGACACAUUUAGACUUCAGGUAUGUGGUGCUUACUGUACUGUUGCUCUCCAAGGUUCUUUGUGAGUAGAAAUUGAUUGUUAUUGUCUGAUGCUUGCAGGAGCAACCUCCAUACGACAAAAAGCAGUUUGUCACAUGGGUGAAGAGGUAUAUCAAACUGUUGACACCCAAGUUGGAGGGGGAGGGCCAAGAGGUGUUCAAGAAGAACAUUGAGGCAGCAACCAAGUUUCUGCUUGGGAAGCUCAGCGACCUCCAAUUGUAAGUUUUGUUGAUACUGCGCCCAUGGUGAUUGAUUGUUCCGUAAUCAUAAACUAAUGUCAUGAUCCUAUCAGUUGGGGUUCACUCGUUUCUAUGUUACUCAAAUGAUAUUAACAUUGAAUCGGAUGUUGUUUGCAGCUUUGUUGGGGAGCAUGCAUGAUGAUGGCGGUUUGGUCUUUGCGUACUACAAGGAGGGCGCGACCGACCCAACAUUUAUCUACUUUGGUCAUGGGUUGAAGGAGGUCAAGUGCUAAGCAAUUGGCCGAGAGAGCUCCAAGCAGAAUGCAUGUUGUAAUCCUAGUCUAUAUUAUUGCUUUCUUUACUUUUUAUGUUUAAAAUUGGGGGAUGAGGAGUCUAUUUUUGCUUUGUUUCGUUAGAAUAUUGGCUUUAUGCCUAUCUUGGUUUUAAUGGCUUUUCAACUUGGAUUUCUAAUUUAUGUGGUUCUAAAUUUUGAUUGCGAAAUAACAUUGUGUUCUACAUUUUACCACCUGCAAGUCACUUGCUUUCGUACGCCGUCAAACGGUUGAAGGUGUGAAUUGUUGGAACUGGUAAUAGUUCUAGUUCAUCUUUCAAUUUCACCAUCAAAUCUUUAUAUGUCCCCUUUUCUUCACGCAUUUUCCGGAGGUCUGGAGAGAGCCGCAAUCAUUAGGAUUUUUCUAAUCUUCUUGUGAAAUUUCAUUUUUCCGCGGGAACCACAAGAUUCGAUUUAGCUGUAAGAAGAAUGCUCGGCGAAUGGAUGAGUACUGAGUUUCUUUGUCCUUGUCAAACCUGGGAUUUUACUGUAAUUUGAAUGCCUCCGGUAGUUUGGAAUAUUCCGAGGAUAAUCGGUCCUUGUUUACAAAUAGACCAUCUGACUUUGGACUGAGAAACUUUAGCAUUAUGGUUAAUAAUAUGAAGUUUUAACAAAACACUUCCGUAUUGUUCGCUUUUAACGAAAAAUCACAUUUUUACCUUUUCCUAAUACUAUUCACUACACUUUUAUUUGUCAUUUUUCCAUUAAAACUGAAGUUUUUUUUAGACUUUUCGUUAGUUUUCCUUUAAUAAUAAUAUUCAUCUCCAUUAAGAAUGAACAUGAAUCCUUUCCGGACCCCAAUAUCCUAAACCUAAGAAUCAAAUCAUCCGGGUUGUUGAAAUUUGAUUCAACGGCUACAAACAGGGGAUUCCUCUAAAGUUAUAAUAAUUGUAGCCAUUAGAUCAAAUUUUAACGGUCUGGAUUAAAUGAUCCCUAGGCUUAGGAUAUUGAGAUCCAGUGAGGAUCCGGGUUCAUUAGGAAUUUAUAGAUUUUAUGUUCGACUCUCAUGGAAAAUUCCCACUAUCGUUACCUAGUGAUAUUCUUAUUUACUAUUGAGUAAAAAAAUCUUAAGUUUGAAUGUCGUAAAUGACAAGUUCGUAAUCAAUUUAUUCUCUCCACCUCUUAGUGUAAAUACUAAAUAUAUUUUUGUAUUUUUGCAUUUAUUUGUUUUGCUUAAUGUUGCCUCAGAGGGAUGUGCUUAGAUCUAUUUGUUAAAACUUAAAUCCGUUUGAGAACCGUAGUAGCAUGAAAUUAUGAACAAGGUGCCAUGUUUUAGUCGGUCAAUUUUCGAUGGUUGGAUCACAGAAGUUGAUAUAGAUUGGGAAAGAAAAUCGUAUAUACAAAAUUCAAUAGUAGCCAAAUAGUAUAGUGCUUGACAGGUCUCUCUCUUCACCAUCAUCAGGGAAACAGUUUGCAUGGUGAGUACAAUAGUUGCUUAUACUUUUCAAAACCGUCCUGCAAAUACAUAUUUAAAUUGUGUCACAUAUUAACUAACACAUUUUUUAUACGAGAUUCGAGGAGUGUUAAGAUCAGUCACGCACACGAAGGUGAGUUGAUUACGACCAUUUUAGUUUUGUGGACUCUACAAAACAUGAAUGACUAUAUUAGCUCAUUGACACGUGUAUAAUUGAUCAUAACAUUUCCUAGAACCUGCAUUAAUUAGAUUCAAUUUUGCUAAUUAAUUAUAUCCUCGCUAAUUAGUUUUGAAUAACAAACAACAAGAAGAAGCUUAACUAAUUGAUGUAGGUUUAGGAGGUGGUGUUUGAGGUUAAUUUAGUUGGAGUGCUUGGGGUGGUAACGGUUGGAGAGGAUAGUAGCGUGCUAGUGCUUAAUGCCGGUCGUAUAUAUGCAAUGGAUGCAGUCGAGUCAAGUGGUAAUAUUAUUCGGAGUAAGAUUCAUUCCCUUCUUUUUUUACUUCCUCUUCCUUCUUCUCCUAUUUGAACGGUCACGGUUAAGCCACGUUAACAUCUUAUAUUAAUUUUUUAUAAAAAGAGAAAGACAAAAUAGAGAAUGUGAAAGGAGGGGAUAGAAAGAGGAGGGGAGAGAAUCAUAGUCCAUAUUAUUCAUCCUACAUUUUUGGCAGCUGCUUGGGUUUUAAAAUUAAAAGAUGACGCCUAGACCUGCUUUGUCACCCCUAGCCCAUCUAGGCGCGUAGGAGCUAGGGUCAAACCCGCUGCCUGACUAGCACCUAGUGUCUUUUAGAACUUUGAACGUUGACUAGCUUUGUCCAACUCCAUUUACAUGCACAUCAACUAAACUUAUCCAAAAACUCAAAUGAAAGUUUUAUAGCUCAAGCUGUUAAAAAUAUUUAUCUACGUAGUUAAAGGUCUUAAGCUCAACUUGCUCCUCCCUAUCACCGCUUACACAAAAAGAAAUCAAAUAAAAAUAACAAGAAAAUGUAUUUUUCUGCUCAGCUUUCUGUAGGUAGCAACUUGAGACUUCAAAUCAAAAGUGUUAGCUGAUGUCGAUUUAUAAACUUAUAGAACACACUCACUCAUUUAGGAUAUCUUUCAACCACAUUUUAUAUGUGGGAUUCAGCUUUCAAGGUUACAAAAUAUAGAUUGUUUGAGAACAUCCGUUCGGAUACUGAAUUAGAUGCUCAAUAGGUACAUGCAGUGGCAGAUUUGAGGUAUCGUUUGGUAUGCAGACGGGACGGGAUAGGACGGGACGGAACGGAGAGAGAGCAAAAAUGCCCUUAGAUGGAAACAAGGAGGAAGAAGAAGGAGACGGAGAGGUUAUAAUUUUGUGUUCCACGAAUGUGGAACGAAUCGUUCCAGGGGGUGAGGCGGAACGAAAAUUCACCCAAAAUUCGUCCAGUGAAACAGUGCAUUCCACUCGUUUAGGCGCACCAAACGUGGGACGGAACGCCUCAUCCCACUCUGUUCCGUCCCGUCCCACGUACCAAACGGUAUUCCAAUCUUAAGGGAUCACAGUGUUAGAGGUUCAAGUUUUUAGAUAGAAAAAGUGUGAAGCGUGCAAAAAAAAAGAAAAAAAAAUCAGUUUAUUCAAUGAGGAAUUUCUUCGAACACUUGAUGAGCUUGUUGUUGUUAGCCGAACCAAAAACAAUCUUAUGAGUGUUCUUGAGAGAAUUUGAAGAGUGUUGUUGACGCAACAUGCGGGAGACAUUUCGUCAAACAUUUGGUUUGCACAAAAAAGACUCGGUACCAUACAUUCGGAAGAUCCUUAGAAGACCUUCAUAUGUAUAUUUCUCAGACUCCGACUAGUCUUAAGACGACUUAGGUCCCAAUAUACAUCUGUCACUGGAUACGUGAGGCCAUGUUCAUGUUUGGUAAAACUAGUUGUGGGAUUUAUGAAACCUGCUACAUAUCAGAGCCACGAAGGAGGAAGCUCAAACCCUUGGACACCCUAGAUUUGGUUUGGGGAAAAAUGAGCUUGGGAGCGAUAAAUUGUUGUAUUUUCGUGUUUGGGAAAUUAUUUUUUUUAUGCACGAGAAAAUAGAGAGAAAGUGAAUUUCUCCAUCAACUUGAUUCUUAUUUUGAAAAACUAAAACAAACAUUAAAAAAGAAGUGACAUUUGCUGAUGAUGGCUUGCUUUUUAUUUACAGCACUUAAUUCACCUGUAAUGUAGUUGAAUUAUUUAUUUAUAAUAUAUAUAUAUAUAUAUAUAUAUAUAUCACCUUCCUUUGAGGGGUCUACAGGAGCCAAUAUUAUGAAAUUUGAUUACCAAAAUAAAGGACGGUGGGGGAGCUAUUAGCCUAAUUUGAUGUGGAAAUUAAUUAAUGUUUAAUUAAACUUUAAUUGAAAUGAAAAGACUCCAUCUUAUCUCAACCUAAUCACAUGCUUUAAGUUAAAGCGAUCGUUGUUCCCCAAAAAAAAAGUGUACGAGAAGGAUGAUAGGUUGAGAUAUAUAUCAAGGGUGAUAGGGGGGUGAUAGGGAUCAGCUUAGAGAAAAAUUAGACGAAACUAAUUAAAUUCAAUGUUAAAUGAUGUGUCAUAUUUUAGGUUGGUUAGAUUAUUAGGAAACUAAUGAAAAUGGCUUGAAAACUUUGAGUUUUAAUGAUAAGGACAAAAUAAAGGGUAAAGUGAAUAGUAUCAGGAUUGACUUUUUAAUGUAAAAAUGUGGUUUUUCGUUAAAUUGAACAGUACCGGGAGCUUUUCGUUAAAGUUCCCUAGAUUAUUAUUAUGUUAGUCUAGAUAUAGCGAAAUGCGGUAUAUGUAUAAUCUCUAAAUAUAGAGACUCGGAUCCCAUUAGCAUAUAUGACUGUAGACCCAAUUUACCAGAAAAAUUAAAUUAAUUAAUUAAUUAAAGACCAAAAGUAAAGAUUGAGAAUUUUAUUUUUUUUUUUAACAAAUGAUAUUAUUUACAGUAAGGGAUGGGAGGUGGGCGGGCUAAGUCUCCCAAUGUGUAUGUAAUAAUGUGGUUAAAAUCCAUUUUUAGCGAGAAUCGAACUUAAGACCUCUCACUUACAAGUAAAAGAAAUAUCACUAGAUUAUAGUAUUAAAUGAUUAAAAGUGUGUUACAAGUAAAAAAUUGGGAAUUAGAUAUCAAAUCAUUCGAUUCAUUCCUAUGUUAAUUAAAGUUUAUAUGGAGAGAAAAGUGUGUUUGAUGACGUGUAUGUUUCGUGGCCUUUUCGAUUCCAAGAGGGCAUGAUGAGGACGAUAAUGGACGAUAUAGUGUAUAGUAUUUCGAUUAUGUUAUUGCGUACAGAACAAUCUCAUGUUUUACUCAUUAAUUAAUGGAUGUCUUACUCUUCCGAUUUAUAUAGUAAUUAUAUCGAGUUUAUAUUCAUCCGGUCUAAUAUAUUGUAUUCGUAUUGAAAUACACAUUUUUACCAACGAGUCUUUAGUACAUUAGUAGUUGUCUUUUACUUGAUUAGAGGAAGCCGCAUGUCGAACUUAUAAGAAUAUGAAAAAGAUACAUAUUGUUUUGUUAUGACGAUGUUUGUGGAGAUCUGGAGUGAGUUAACCCCCAUCGAAAGAUUAAGAAAUCUUACAAGGGUACUUAGAAAACUAGUUUACACCUAGUCAAUAAGCUUUAGAUUGAAACUUCAGCUUUCUUAACAGUAUUAGCAACUCGUGUUCCACAUCAUCCAAUAUAUCCACAUUCUCAUUGAAGUUGGUUAUUGGAUUACCACCUCGACUCCAAAUUCCUUGAGAAUGAGAAAUUGAAUUUCUAAUUUGGUGUAGACCUUACUUCUCUUUUGAUUCCUCUAUAGUUAACGAACACAUGAAUAAUCCAUAGGCAAGUCCAAUUCUUUAAUAAGUCAUGGAUUUUUUUUUUUCAAAUUAAAAAGAAAUUUCAUUAUAAAUUGUCAAAAAUUUACAUAAGGCAAAUAUGUCAAGGUAGAGCGAACCAAGAGGCUACACAUGCCAGAUACAAUACAAUUACUUAAACAUGAUGGAUCUAAAUUCAACCAAUAGAAAAGAUAUUCACGGUAACUAAAUAUUGCAAGUGGGAGAACCAUCAUAAAUGCACCACAAGGGAAAACCCGCAGCACCAUAUGGUGCAAUCGUUGACAAAGAAGCCAUAUUAUGAGUCACUUCCAACUAACAUUGAGCUUUCCCCUCAUGGUUCCUUGCCUAGUGCACAAACCAGAACCGGUGCUGCAAAGGACUCACAUUGACAAAACAAGAGAAUAACUACAACCAUAACCACAAAGACGCUCCUCAUUAAAGUGAGAGUGCGACUAUAACUACAAAUGCUUUCCUUAAUAGAGUGAGAAAACGAUCACUACUAAACACACAAGAAGGAAAAGAGAGGAGAUGAUGGAUGCUUAGAUUUGUGUGGAAAUCUCAUUAAUUUUAUGUUGAGUUCAUAUUGUAUAUGUCAUGGACACCUCCGUAAAAUAGCAAAGUAAACAUAUAAAAAUAUAAAGUUAGGUAUCGUACGAUAACUAUUUCUGUUUUUAGUUUUUAUUUUUUGGUUUGCACUUUUCUUUUUUUUUAAAUUAGAACUUAUUUGGUAAUUACUUUAAAAAAAAUAAAAAUUGAAAACAAGAAAUGAAAACUCAAGACUACUGUAGCUUUCAGUUUUUGCCUUGGUUUUCAUUAUUUAUUUUUUUAAACUGAAAAUUGACAAAAAAACUUAAAAUAGUUACUCAAUAAGAUCAAUUUUCAAUUAAAAAAAAAAAAAAAAAAACUGAAAACGAACUGCUUAUCAAAUGAACACUUAGAAAAGCAUGGUUUUUUUAAAGAAUUAUUAAUUUUUAACUCAAAAAGUCCACCUAGAAAGCUACAGGGUUCAUUUUUAUGUAUCUCUUUGCUGUCAUCAUCUUUACCACUAGUAUGAAUGAUUAUACAAACCCAUAAUUAAUCAUACAAAUUACGUGGGGCUAUCCUUCGUGGGUAUCAUCGACAAAAAAAAAGUUUGAUGAGCGUAAAUGCAUAAAUAUGAAAUGUUUAAUUAGGUAAGCUUUUUUUUUUUUUUUUUUUUUUUUUUGGAAAAUUAGGUAAGCUUAACAUCUCAAAUCUUGAAUCAUUGAGUGUUUAGCCGGUUGUAUUUUGGGUGACACUCGUAAUUGCAUUGAUCUGCACCAAUAGUAUCUCAAGAUUCAAGAACCUCUCUUUUUUUGACAAUUUAUUAUAGAGAACUUUAACGAAAAGCACCUGGUACUGUUCACUUUAACGAAAAACC